rnacentral:rRNA from 1 species
GCAGCUCGUGCCCGGGCAAGACUGAAGACGAGACCAACCGCGCAGGUAGGCUCGGAAGGGCGACGCAAACCCCCCAACUCGCGCCCACCUUCCACCCCAGAUCUCGCGGCCGCCGCCGCCGCCGACGAGAUGCUCCUCCUCCGCGGCCUCCUCCUCGCCGCUCUCCUCGCUGUCGCGCGGCAGCCCCUGGCGUCCGCCUCCGAGUCCGACCACAAGUACAAAAUUUCAGAACCAGUCAAGCUCUGGGUAAACAAGGUUGGCCCGUACAAUAAUCCUCAGGAAACAUACAACUAUUACAGCCUUCCGUUUUGUCAACCAGCUGAAAACCCUGCACACAAAUGGGGUGGACUCGGAGAAGUUCUCGGUGGAAAUGAGCUGAUUGAUAGUCAGAUUGAUAUACAGUUUUUGAAAAAUGUGGACAAGGGCCCCAUUUGCACAAUUGAACUUGAUGCUAAAAAGGUUCAGCAAUUUACUGAUGCCAUUGAAAGCUCAUACUGGUUUGAGCUUUUCAUAGAUGAUCUGCCAUUGUGGGGUUUUGUUGGGGAGACUGACAAAAACAAUGAAAACAAGCACUAUCUUUACACACACAAGAAUAUUGUUGUUAAAUACAACGGUAACAGGGUAAUUCAUGUCAAUCUCACUCAAGAGUCACCUAAGCUUCUUGAAGCUGGAAGAAAAUUGGACAUGACAUAUUCAGUGAAGUGGGUGCAAACAAAUGUGGCAUUUGCACGGCGUUUUGAAGUUUACUUGGACUACCCGUUCUUCGAACACCAGAUUCAUUGGUUUUCCAUCUUCAAUUCUUUCAUGAUGGUCAUUUUCUUAACUGGUUUAGUAUCAAUGAUAUUGAUGAGAACCCUGAGAAAUGAUUAUGCAAAAUAUGCUCGUGAAGAUGAUGAUCUUGAGUCACUUGAAAGGGAUGUUAGUGAGGAAUCUGGAUGGAAGCUUGUUCAUGGAGAUGUAUUUCGACCUCCACGCAACCUAAUGUUUCUGUCUGCUGUUGUUGGCAUUGGCACUCAGAUGGCAGCUCUUAUCCUGCUUGUUAUUGUACUUGCCAUUGUUGGUAUGCUUUAUGUUGGACGAGGAGCUAUUAUCACAACCUUUAUCGUGUGCUACGCGCUUACAUCUUUCAUUUCUGGAUAUGUUAGUGGCGGCCUCUACUCAAGGAACGGCGGCAAAAACUGGAUAAAGUCUAUGGUCCUUACCGCGUCCCUUUUUCCAUUCUUGUGCUUUUCAAUUGGAUUAGUGUUGAACACCAUUGCUAUCUUCUACCAUUCAUUAGCGGCUAUACCAUUUGGUACAAUGGUUGUCAUAUUUGUCCUCUGGGCUUUUAUCUCUUUCCCACUGGUGCUAUUGGGAACAGUAGUUGGUCGAAACUGGAGUGGUGCUCCCAAUAACCCAUGCCGUGUGAAGACAAUCCCACGUCCUAUUCCUGAGAAGAAGUGGUACCUAACACCUUCUGUUAUCUCAUUGAUGGGUGGGCUUCUUCCCUUCGGCAGCAUUUUCAUCGAGAUGUACUUCGUAUUCACUUCAUUCUGGAACUACAAGGUGUACUAUGUUUAUGGCUUCAUGUUGCUAGUCUUUGUCAUCCUCCUAAUCGUAACAGUAUGUGUCACUAUUGUGGGCACUUAUUUCUUGUUGAAUGCUGAGAACUAUCAUUGGCAAUGGACAUCGUUCUUCUCGGCUGCAUCAACCGCCUUGUAUGUAUAUCUAUACGCUAUAUACUAUUAUCAUGUGAAGACAAAGAUGUCAGGCUUUUUCCAGACUAGCUUCUACUUCGGCUACACGUUGAUGUUCUGUCUGGGGCUAGGCAUACUUUGUGGUGCUAUCGGCUAUCUGGGGUCAACUUUGUUUGUCAGGAGAAUCUACAGAAACAUCAAAUGCGACUAAACUGCUUCUCCGAUUCUGUAGGCUAUUAGCACUUAGCAGAUCAUGUGUUGUUGAGUAACGCUUCUAAGAUUCUAAUUAACUUUUGGAAACUAUACAGGAGGUGGUUCUCCCUUCGUUUACCUUAAUAUACUUUUAUUUUUGGUCUAUAUCUACCCCGUCAUCAAAACUGGCCCCAUAAAUGUAUACCUAUAUUAGUUCAGGAAUUAGUCUCAGUACUGGGAUUUACAUCUACCUUUAUCUUUUUAGGGCG